GCAGGCAAUACGCGCAUCGAAAAUUUGUAUCGCCGUGUUGAUCGCCUGAUCGAUAGUGUAUCACUUUGAAGUGCAUAUAAUUGAUUUCGUUUGCGGAGGCUUUAAACUCUUGGUGUGCAGUGCAGUGGGUGAUUUUUAGAGGCUUAGGGCAAGCCCUAUAUAGCCGACAAAAUGUGCCUGCUCCAAGCAGUGAAAAGUAUGGAGUAGGGCGGUGAUUUGCAGUGAGAUCGGCCUUUCGUUCACUUCAUACAAUUAUGUGGCGUGCCCUAUGAGCUGCAUUCCAAAGCGAUGGUG